rnacentral:ncRNA from 1 species
CACGGUCACAUGGAGUAGCCAAGUGCGAAAGACGACCGAUGUAAAAGGAGCUGCACUUCCCUGGGUGAGAAUCCCUAAAACUGCUCUCCGAUGUCCUUACACGGACGCUGCUUGCAUGGUGAGGAAUGUGCCUAACCUCAUUUCAUGUGUAAGGACAACGCACUUUAGACGGCACCCAACAAGACAUUUGUACGGAGGGCGAAUAUUUUGACAAGUCAGG